rfam:Mastigocoleus testarum BC008 Contig-66, whole genome shotgun sequence.
CAUAACCAAAAAUGAUUCUUGGAUCAAGGGUGGGAUUGGUCACAAAGCGCACUUCACCGCCUCCUGGAGCCCAAGUGUCAUAUAAACCACCCCAAAACAUUGCUUUACAUACAAGUAAUAAAGCGCCUACACCAAGAGCAAUCAAGUGAUAUCCAAGAAUACUGGUGACUUUGUCUUUAUCACUCCA